rnacentral:lncRNA from 1 species
GUGAGGUUGUGUAAAAGAGUUUAACCUACUAGCAGGUCAGAUUCAGGUCUGAGUCAAGCCUAAAGCUGUUAGAAUGAGAUGCUGACCACUACCACCCCUAUAUUAUGUCAGUUUAUUAAUUGUCUAAAGCUAACAAACUGAUAUAGAAAGAAGCUGAUGUGGGUGGGUUAAGUUGUAGGUCAAGAUUAAUAGUUUGUGGAACAAGUCAAUUAGGUGAGUUGUGUAAAAGCGUUUAACCUACUAGUCGGUCAGGUUCAGUUCCCAGCCAAGCCUAUAGUUGUUAGGAUGAGAUGCUGACCACUACCACCACUAUAGUAUGUCAGGUAGUUAAUUGUCUAAAGCUAACAAACUGAUUGUUUGUUGCUGCGGCUGUUUUUUUUGUUGUUGUUGUUGCUGCUGCUGCUGCUGCUGUUGUUUUGUGUUUGUACAAUCUAUCAAACUAUACCAUCUGACUCAUAAUUACUAAAUUCAAGCUUAUCAUGAAACAACAUGGAAUCAAGCAGAACAAGUGGAUUCUAUAAACUGCCUAAAUUUAACUCGAUGCACUAAUAAAUGAAUAAAGACAUCAAUUCUUUCAACUUCUCAACUUAACACAAAUCACACGGUACAAGUGUCCAUCCCAAUCUGGCAGACUUGUCCGGUCAAUUUCAGAACUAGCAACUGAUAAAAGAAGUUUAGUGUCCAUAAAAUAAAGUUGGCCGAAGUUUGCUUGCCAACGUCACAAAGUACCAUUAGGAGAAAACACUUGUUGAAAUGUAACUACCUAUAAUAAGUCCUACAAGAAAAAUCACCAAAAACUGUAAAGGUCUGUAUCAUCCCCCUAAGCUCUUCUAAGAUUUAAGAUAUCUUCUCUGAUCAUUGGCAUUGUUGGGCCUCCUCAUAUUUGGCAUAUUAUUCGUUGGUUACUUUUGCUUUCAGACUUGCAUUGAUACAUGACAAAAUCAGAUCAGAACCCAUGUCUCCAUUACUUUAAGAUCAAUUUCUUGUGCUCGGCCACUUUCACUUCAUGCACAUAACCCUUUUCCAUUUUGAUUCAUCCUGAAAUCAUUUUGAGAAUCUAGCUUUGAGAACCAUUCGCUAUUUCUGCCAUGCGAAGUCUUCAUUGAUAUUUGACCUCCACUUCAUAUUAUUAGCACUAAUAGUCAAUGGUUUCCAAAAAUCAUUCUAAGUAACCACUAUAUACUACAUGUCAUCUUGUUCCUAUUAAUCUACUUUGCCCGACUCAUUAGCCUCCAACUUAACCAUUUUGUCAUUAUUGGUGCUUAUCUUUGCAUCUUCUGUUAGUUGUUAGCAUUGUCCAUUUGGACACCCUUCCUAGGCCAAACCCCACUUCCUUCACCUUCUAAGUGCCUGCCAGUCUCUCCAGCUACAGCUCCUUCAUC